CUCGCUUGUGUAUGUCACUUAAAUGUCACAAAAAACCGUGUAAACAGACAGGAUUUGCUUUUGGAUUUAGUUAAAUCCAGAUCAUAGAAAUUCAAUGUAAACGUGCUAUUAUAUUUUUGAUGUAAUUGAUAUUUUUUUGGUCUUUGAAUCGCCUUGUUCAAAAAGUAGGAGUAUGAAUGAAUGUUAUAAAAGUUAAUUUGUUAAGUGAAAACUAAGUAUAGAAAAGUGGCAAUAACCCUUUUUCAAUUGUAAUUAAUAAAUUUGUAACAACAAUUUUCCAAAGAAAGGCGAGAAUUAACUCAAACCUACGAAAACUGCUAAAAUUAUCAUGACAACUGUUAAUUCUUUACGAUUUUUUUAUUUGGCAACAAAAUAAAACAAAUCGUAUAUAGAAUUGAAUAUUGUUUUUCCUCAAAAUUCAGCCAUUCAUAAGAAUCGAUAUGUCAGCCUUUGUUUGGAUGGCACAUGCAAGACAUUAAGUAAUGUUUUUCAGUAUGAAACUCAACACCUUGUUUUUCAUGUGCUACCCAAAUUAAAGACACAGCAUAAAAUUCGAUGCUUAUGUUGGUUGCCGGUGAGAAUGUUUGCAUUAGCAACUUUUCUUUUGGUUCUUUUUGCAUUCGUUUAAAUGUCUUUGCAUUGCAAUUUCUUUUUUUGUAUGUUUUAGUAUAAAUAGGGACAGAUUUUUAAUAAAGAAUCGUAGUACAAACAAUCAACUUUAACUGUAUUUAAUUAAAAAGGGCCAUAGCAAACGAACUAUCCUCAACAUUUGGCGACCGUGACAGGACACUUUGUAUUACCUCAUCAUAUCCGUUGGCACCAACAGCUCACCACAUCCUUGAUUUCCAGAAUGCAAUCAUCAUGGAAACCCCAGCUCAAUUACUCCAGAAACUCAAGGAAAUCGGCGAUGGUAUCGCCACCAUAACCAGAAAUAUAGGUUAGGACUUCAGUAGCCGGAAGACUAUUCCCUACUACGAGGAGCGACUCAACAUGCUCCAGGCAGCUCGGAAUGAGUUCGAGAUGGCGGACACCAACCUGAGAAGUUCGGAUGAGGUGGACACCUCGGACGAGUACUUUGUGUCAGACUAUUACAACAAGGUUCAGUCCUUGACAACAAAGUACGUCACAUUGAUGGAAGAUGACCUUGAAAGGCUAAGGCGAGCAUCAGUCACCAAACCCAUCCCAGGAUGGCGCCACGGGAGGCCAUGAUGGCCUCAUCAACCGGUCACUAGGUAAAAUGGCAGCUUUAACCCGUCAGCUAGAAGGCCUGAAGCUGAAGGACCAGGAGGAAUCCAACUACGAGGUGAAAAGGGCCACCUGUGGCAACAGUUGGAAACCCUUAACGAUGAGGUACUGGACAAAUAUCCCUAACCAGACCUAUCCGGCUACGACUCAUCAAAGUAUCUCCACCUCGAAGAAAAUGUUCAAACAGCAAUCAUCAAACUCACCACUGUUAACAAACCUGUCCAAACCACCACUGACGAAGUAAUAACGAGGCCAACAUCAAUUCCCUUACCUGCAAUCGCCAUUACGAAAUUCAAUGGCGAUUACAUGAAGUGGACUUCAUUUGCAGAUUUAUUAAAUAGAAUCAUCCAUGAGCAUCACAGGAUGGAGUAUCUGAAGAAUAACGUGUUUGGUGAAGCAGCAAAUGUUACUGGAGAAAACUACCAAGCGGCAUGGCAAUUACUGGAAAAUCGCUAUAAUAAUAGGAGAAUUAUGGUAGCCACCGUAAUUAACAAACUACUCGAACAGCCAUCUGGUGUCGGCUCGUUGAACGCGCUCAAGAGGUUGCAUGAUACAAAAGGCAAUGCUUAGCAACCCUCUCAAACAUGGGCAUCCAGACUACGUCCUAAUCCUAAGGAGCUACAAACCCUUAGCGAUUUUCUAACCUACCUGGAAACUUAUUUCAAUGCUCUCGAAGCAAUGGCUCAUAAAGAGAAGCUUUCAACAAAACUUGCACACUUACCACUCAACCCCAACUCGAAGGCCGACAAUGCAUUAAUUGCAAGAAAGACCAUCACCCGUUAUCUAAAUGCAAGGAGUUGCAUUUGCUUAACCCGAAAAACCGGCUGAACUUUGUACAAAAACAAUGGUUAUGUGUAAACUGCUUCAACAAUAGUCACUCCUCUAAGUAGUUCACGAUUUUAGGCCGCUGCCAAAAAAGUGGGGAAAAGCACCAAACGCUUGUUCAUCUCGAACAUUCUCUACAAGGUAGUGGCACAUACACAAAUCAAGGGGAACCUUCCACAGGACCAACCGCAACCAAAACAAAUACCAAGCAUCAGUCACCAGAACAAGCAGCUUCCCUCGUCACUACACCAGCAACUGUAGUACAAAGCAUGGCUGCAAAUACCACUGCUCACAGGUCGUACGUUUUACUUGGAACAGCAUUGGUGAAGGUUAAGGCCAAUGGUUUGGAAACCGAAUGCAAGGCGAGUCACAAGUCAACCUUAUCACAGAAAGGUUGACUUGUGAUAAAAAAGAUAUUCUGUUAGGAGCAGAAUAUUAUCACCAGUUACUCGCUAUUGGACAAAUUAAACUCUCUGAUAACCUUCCUGUCUUGCAGAAUACAAUACUUGGCUGGGUAUCCGGCAGGAUAUCUGAACGGCAACUACCAACAGCAAUAUGUGGAGUCGUGACUGAAGAAGACCGCAUGAGCCGGUCGAUAGAGCGAUUCUGGCAACUCGAAGAAGUCGAAGGCACUCAACAACAAUUUUCGACCGAAGAUACACAGUGUGAAACGCACUUUAAUCAACACUGUGCACGUAACAAAGAAGGAAGAUUCGUAGUGAGACUUCCAUUCUGUGCUGAACUGAACUCACUGGGAGAAUCUUAUAUUAUCGCUUUCAAUCGCUUUCUGUCUUUGGAACAGAGAUUAGCAAAAAACACCGCUUUGAAGGAGGAAUAUGAAGCGUUGGGCCACAUGACCAAAGUAGAUAUGGACAAGGUGAAAGGACCAAAAUACUUUAUUCCUCACCACUGCGUGCUACGACCCGAAAGUAGCACCACCAAGCUGAGAGUUGUAUUCGACGCUUCAUUAAAAACAUCAUCAGGGAUAUCAUUGAACGAUAUUCUCCAUACAGGACCACCUCUACAGAGGUAGUCGUCAGGGCAAAAAUGUUCGUCCAAGUGUUAUGGAGUUUGAAUCUUGCAUGGGAUGAAGCUGUGCCUUUGGAAUUUGAAUCACUAUGACGAAACUUUCGAGACAAUCUCAAAGAACUCGAAACCUUUCAAGUAAAUCGACAUAUCUACAAUAUAAGGGUUAUAUUUCUCACAACACACACCUUCUCGUCUUUACGGAUGCAUCAGAAAGAGCAUAUGGGGCUGCAAUCUAUAUAAGAACGCUUUUACCAAAUAAAACGAUAAUUGUGUACCUAUUAUGCGCAAAAUCCCGUUUAGCGCCUCUGAAGCAACAAACACUUCCAAGAUUAGAAUUAUGUGCUGCCCAGUUAGGAGCUAACCUGUUGGUAAAGGUUAAACACGAACUGGAUAUGACCACAGUACCAACUUUCUACUGGACUGACUCAACAAUAAUGUUAAACUAGAUAAACUCAAGGCUAUCCUCCUUUCACACAUUCGUUGCAAAUCGAAUAGCUUCAAUUCAAGAGAACACGAAACCUGAGCAAUGGAGACACGUAAGUUCAAAAGACAACCCAGCAGACAUAGUAUCUAGAGGAUUGAAUCCACAACACUUACAAAACACACCUCACUGGAUAUACGGCCCAUUUUUCUUGCACGGGGACGAGAAACAUUGGCCUUCUUCUUUUCGUUCAACUCCUGACGCAGCUAUUAUUGAAAGAAAACAAAACUCUCACAGCUUGCUGGUAUCAGGAUUUAUCAAAAACGCUAAAACUGGAAAGAAAGAUCGGCAAACAAGGUCAACUCUCACUCCUAUUGAGCUUCACGAUGCCGUGGUCAUCAUCGUCCGAACGACACAACAUUCAUCUUUCAAAAAAGACCUCCAACAAUUGGAAAAGCAACAAGAGCUUAGAACAUCAAGUCAGAUCAAAUACAUAUCAUAAUUUCUAGAUGAACAUAAUGUCAUAAGAGUCGGAGGAAGACUAGAAAAAUCUGCCUUAAGUUUCAAUGCAAAACACCCUAUGCUAUUACCCUUCAAUGACAUAAUAAGUCGACUAAUCUUUGAGUCCAUACACAAAGAAAAUAAACACUAUGGCCCUACUGCACUUCUUGCAACAGUAAGACAACGCUUUUGGCCCAUUAAGGGAAGGCACUUGGCCCGAAACACUGUCCAAAAGUGUAUACAAUGCGCAAGGGCCAAGCCAAGACUACUUCAACAAAUUAUGGGAAAUUUGCCAGAAACGAAGGUGACACCUGCAAGGCCCUUUAUCAAUGCAGGAGUUGACUAUUGUGGUCCAAUUUGGGUACAUUUUAUAACCAGAGGAAACUGACCCCAGAAAGCGUAUAUAGCUGUUUUUUGUUGUUUCGCUACAAAGGCAGUCCAUUUAGAGCUAGUAACGGAUCUCUCAAUCGAUGCAUUUAUUGGAACACUUAAGAGGUUUACAAGUCGAAGAGGACAUUGUCAAAAUCUUUAUUGUGAUAACGCUACCAACUUCGUGAGAGCUCGGAGUCAACUUGCAGAACUAUCAAGUGCCUUAUUUUCUACAACAACUCAAGAAGCUAUCCAACGAGAAUGUGCAAUUAAAAACAUUAAUUUCCAUUUCAUACCUCCGCGAUCCCCGCAUUACGGUGGACUAUGUGAAGCUGCAGUUAAAUCCGCUAAAGGUCUUUUGAUCAAAGAAAUAUCAAGCGCAUCCUUGACCUAUGAAGAAAUGGAAACUAUUGUCAUAGAAGUUGAAGCUAUUCUGAACUCAAGACCAAUUGCACCAAUUCGUAACAACCCGAGUGAUAACGCCGCAUUAACUUCUUGUCAUUUUUUUUUUUGAUUGGAGAGCCUCUCAUGGCUCAGGUUGACGCGACUGCACAAUCGACAUCAUCCUCCUUGGCAAAACGUUGGGAAUUAGUAUCGCGAAUAAAACAUACAUUUUGGAGAAGAUGGUCGCAGGAGUAUCUCAAUGAACUUCAGCAACGCAACAAGUGGCAAACUAAGUCCCAAAACCUACAACCCGGCACUAUGGUUGUAAUUAGGGACAAUUUACCUGUCAUGAGCUGGCGUCUUGGAAGGGUCAUCGAAACGUUUCCUGGGCCCGAUGGUUUUGUCAGGGCAGCUGAGGUAAAAACAUCAACUGGUGUCAUCAAGCGAGCCAUUCACUUACUCGCUCCUCUCCCUUUGGAACCUCCUGACAAUGAAAAAGAAGAUGAUCCAGUACACCUCAAACGAAGCGGAGCGUCCAGCGACAAGAACGAAGGUUCUUCACCACCAAAACGCGUCAAUUUGAGCAAAACCAGCAUACUACUGAUCUUAGCAUUGCUGCUUCCCCUAUUGACGUGCCAACAUGUCACUUAUACUCAAAGGAAACUCUGGUAUACGGUAAAAUCAAACCAAUUCUAUCAAAGUGGAAACUUCUGAUAUAUUUUGAGCUGGCACCAUUCCAUAAUGAACUGCAGCUUCUAUGCAACGGAGCUUAUGCUUUGGAAAAAGCCUGCAAUCAUUCCCUUUUCAACACUCAAUGUACCGGUCUGAUGUCCCAUUUCCGCAAUAUUCAGGAUGAAAUGCAGGCUGGUGUAAGAAUCUUGUUAAACGAAAAAAACGAGGUGCAAUAGAUAUAGUUGGCAACUUAGCAAAUUCCUUUUCGACGUUCUGGAUUCAAAAUAUGCUGAGCAAAUGACUGACACCAUCAACACCAUCAAAAACGAUGAAGCCCGACUGCAAGGACUACUGCGAAAUCAAACAUCGUUCCUAGACUCCACCCUUAACCUUAUGAAGCAAACUCAAGCUCGAACUCGGAACAGUUUCGAAGAAAUCAACUUUAAACUUAACAGACUUAGCCUCACAAAUAAUGAAGAUAACCAGCUAAUUUUAUCUAUUAGGAUCCAGUUAAUUGUAAUUGCAGACAACUUAC
rnacentral:sRNA from 1 species